GCCAUUUUGCACUGAGUAAAAUAACUAGAAGGAAAAACUCACCUCACAAAAGAAUCAGAAACAGCUCUCUCUCCCGCAGAGUUACAAAAUUUGAAUUACAGUUCAAUGUCAGAAAGCCAAUUCUGAAGCACAAUUAUAAGGCUACUGGUAGCUCUCGAAAAAAGCAUGAAGGAUUCAAGAGACUUCAUGACUGCAGAAUUUAGAUCAUAUCAGGCCGAAAUUAAAAAUCAACUAAACGGGGCACAUUCACAGGUGCAGAAAUCAAGGCCUGGAACUGGAAGUGGUACCACUCUCUAUAAUCCUUCAUGAUCUACUUGCAAACUGUUUACUUUCUGCUCCCACGAUUUUAUAUUCUGCUGGCCUAGAGGUCUCAGUUACAAAGAGAGACACAAAAACAAUCCCACUGAUCCGGAAAUUGAAACUGCUGCCUGGCCACUUUGAGCUCUUCAUGCCUCUGAAUCAAUAGGCAAGCAAGGAAGUUACUAUGCUGGCUGGGUGAUUAAUUCCAAAUUCCUGGGAGGAAUGGGAUGAGCUCCACAAUGGAGGUUAAGAAGAGCACGUGUGAAAAUCAGAGGAUCACUUAACACAUCUUUUAAUAUUACCUUCAUGUUUUCAUUUUCA